rnacentral:lncRNA from 1 species
UAUUUUAUUUAAUAUAUUUUAUAUAUUUAAAAUUUAGAUAAUCUUUUAAUAAUGUUAUUGAAUUUAAUUUUUUUAAAAUGGAAUAAAAAAAACUAACUUAAUGAUAUUUAAUAUAUAUUUUUUGAAUAUUUUUUUUAUUUUAAAUACUUAAAUUUUAAAAACUAAAAUUUUAAACCAAAUAUUAAAAUAUUUCAUUACUAAUAUUAACUUAUAAUUUAUGAAAUAAUAUUAUUUAUUUUUUGUAAAAGAAUUUACUAUUAACAACGUCUAAUAAUUUAGUAAUAAAAAUACUUGUUAAAUUAAAAACAACAUAAUAUAUUAAUAUAAAAUGAACAAUACAAAUUAAAGAAAAAUGAAAAAAAAGUAGAAAUUGUAUUAGGUUUGUUUCCAUGAACAGUUAUUACGAUUAUGUCAUUCACUUCUCCAUAAUGAGCAUUUUUAGGCUUAUUUGGAAUUGGUCUGUCCAUAUCAUUAUGUAUAUGAGUAGUGGUUGGCCUUCUUGAUUUCUUUUGUUGUUUCGAAAGAUCAUGCAUAAAAUAUGAACCUAAAUAUUUAGGUCAUUUGUCUUCACUUCCAAGGGAAUGAAAGUGAUGCUGAUAAACUUUGAAAAUAUUUUUCAACUUGUAUACAGGGUUAACAAAAUCAUCAUAAUUAAAAUUGCAAAAAGUACACGCUGUAAUUGCAUGAAAGUAAAGAAUUCAAAGUCUUGAAAUUGUCCAUAAUCACAGGGUCAUUCAUUCAAUUCGAUAGUGCAUGUCAUUGCCAGUUGACCAAGUCGCGUAUUUGCAAUUUCUUGAACUUCAAACUCUCGUGUUUCUCGAACAUACAUGAAGACAUAAAGCAAGGUAGCAAUGUGUUGAUUUUCUUACAUCAUGACAUAUACAUCUUCAGUGUACCUAUGUCGUUCCUUUAUCAUAUUCGUGAUUUUAAAUGUCAUUAAUAACAAAUGAAUCAUUUAUUUUAUUGUAUUUUUUUAUCAUCCAAAAAUGAUUAUUGUAUAUGUUUUUAUUUUUGUCAUUUUUAUGUCUCAUUAUGAGUGUGUGUCAAUUGUUAUUGUAAGAGAAAAAAUGAUUAUGAAAAUAUGAGGAGAAAGAUCAAG